UGAGCAAUCUGCCCUUCUCAUCGGAAUAAGCGUUGGAAACGACGUCUAAUGCCGAAUACGACCUCCUUUCGCAUGAUCGGAGGUGGAAAGCUCCGGCGGAGAAGGAUGAGCUCGCGGCCUAUCAGCUAGUUGGUGUGGGUAAUGGCCCACCAAGGCGACGACGGGUAGCCGGCCUGAGGAGGGUGACCGGCCACACUGGGACUGAGACACCGGCCCAGACCUCCGUACGGGAGCAG
rnacentral:rRNA from 1 species